UGAACGCUGGCGGCGUGCCUAAUACAUGCAAGUCGAGCGAACAGACGAGGAGCUUGCUCCUCUGACGUUAGCGGCGGACGGGUGAGUAACACGUGGAUAACCUACCUAUAAGACUGGGAUAACUUCGGGAAACCGGAGCUAAUACCGGAUAAUAUAUUGAACCGCAUGGUUCAAUAGUGAAAGACGGUUUUGCUGUCACUUAUAGAUGGAUCCGCGCCGCAUUAGCUAGUUGGUAAGGUAACGGCUUACCAAGGCGACGAUGCGUAGCCGACCUGAGAGGGUGAUCGGCCACACUGGAACUGAGACACGGUCCAGACUCCUACGGGAGGCAGCAGUAGGGAAUCUUCCGUAAUGGGCGAAAGCCUGACGGAGCAACGCCGCGUGAGUGAUGAAGGUCUUCGGAUCGUAAAACUCUGUUAUUAGGGAAGAACAAAUGUGUAAGUAACUAUGCACGUCUUGACGGUACCUAAUCAGAAAGCCACGGCUAACUACGUG
rnacentral:rRNA from 1 species